rnacentral:lncRNA from 1 species
UGUUAUAAAAAUUAAAGAAUUGUUGUCUUUUUACCUUAUUAUAGUUAGAGUAAAAGUCUUGUUUAAGUAAUUCUUCAUCUAUGAUAAACUUGGUACUAAUUUGGCAAUUUGAUUUGAUUCUAGAUUUGAGAUUUAGGAUUGGGCCAUCUUGAGGAAAAUAGUCCCAUCUUUCAUUAUCAUUAUCUGAUUCUGAAUGAAGAGAUUGAAUUUCAUCAUCCAAAGUAUCCUCUGAACUCAAAUUCAUCUUGUUAGGGUUAAAUGAAGGAUUCAAAUGUUUCCAGGG